rnacentral:rRNA from 1 species
AGCGUAGGCGGACUUUUAAGUGAGAUGUGAAAUACCCGGGCUCAACUUGGGUGCUUCAUUUCAAACUGGAAGUCUAGAGUGCAGGAGAGGAGAAUGGAAUUCCUAGUGUAGCGGUGAAAUGCGUAGAGAUUAGGAAGAACACCAGUGGCGAAGGCGAUUCUCUGGACUGUAACUGACGCUGAGGCUCGAAAGCGUGGGGAGCAAACA